GAUGAACGCUAGCGGCAGGCUUAAUACAUGCAAGUCGAACGGGAUUUAGGAGCUUGCUUCUAAUGAGAGUGGCGCACGGGUGAGUAACACGUACACAAUCUACCUUGUACAGGGGGAUAGCCUUGGGAAACUGAGAAUAAUACCCCAUAGUUUUAAUUUAUCGCAUGAUAGAUUAAAUAAAGCUGAGGCGGUACAAGAUGAGUGUGCGGAUGAUUAGGUAGUUGGUAGGGUAACGGCCUACCAAGCCGACGAUCAAUAGCUGGCGUGAGAGCGCGACCAGCCACACUGGAACUGAGACACGGUCCAGACUCCUACGGGAGGCAGCAGUAGGGAAUAUUGGACAAUGGGCGGAAGCCUGAUCCAGCCAUGCCGCGUGGAGGAUUAAGGCCCUCUGGGUUGUAAACUCCUUUUAUCUGGGAAGAACCAUUCCGACUUGUCGGAACAUGACGGUACCAGAGGAAUAAGCAACCGGCUAAACUCCGUGCCAGCAGCCGCGGUAAU
rnacentral:rRNA from 1 species